rnacentral:misc_RNA from 1 species
AAAUGCGAUAAGUAAUGUGAAUUGCAGAAUUCAGUGAAUCAUCGAAUCUUUGAACGCACAUUGCGCCCGCCAGUAUUCUGGCGGGCAUGCCUGUUCGAGCGUCAUUUCAACCAUCAAGCCCCCGGCUUGUGUUGGGGACCUGCGGCUGCCCGCAGGCCCUGAAAAACAGUGGCGGGCUCGCUGUCACACCGAGCGUAGUAGCAUACAUUCUCGCUCAGGGCGUGCUGCGGGUUCCGGCCGUUAAACGACCUUCAUAACCCAAGGUUGACCUCGGAUCAGGUAGGAAGACCCGCUGAACUUAAGC